CGAAGUUAGCGAUCUAGUAGUAGUAUAGAUAUCUGUGAGAGUAACCGAAGCAGUCGCCAUCUUCUUGUUGCUGGUCUUUGGAGCAUCGUCGUUUGGAUAGAACAAAAUUGAUUUGUAAUAAAUUCGUCAAUCAGAAAUCUUGUCUAUCUGAUCACGAGGAGUAAAUUCGUGAAAGGAAGAUGAGUUAUGGAAGACCGCCGCCCCGCAUCGAUGGGAUGGUCUCUCUGAAAGUCGACAAUCUUACAUACAGGACAACGCCGGAAGAUCUUAGGCGCGUGUUUGAGCGUUGUGGUGAAGUCGGCGAUAUUUACAUCCCCCGCGAUCGCUUCACGCGCGAAAGUCGCGGCUUCGCAUUUGUCAGAUUUUACGAUAAGCGUGAUGCGGAAGAUGCAUUAGAUGCUAUGGAUGGAAGGCUGUUAGAUGGUAGGGAACUCCGAGUUCAAAUGGCGCGUUAUGGACGUCCGACGUCUCCUCAUCGAAGCCGCGGAAGUCGCCGUCGUGGAAGAUCACGUAGUAGAAGUAGGGAUCGUAGACGUUCUCGAUCUCGAUCCCGCAGUAGAUCGCGUAGUCGCGAUAGAGAUCGCAGGCGCUCCUAUAGUCGCAGUCGCAGUCGUUCUCGUUCUGAUAGUAAAAGCUCGCGCGGAAAAUCACGCUCACGUAGCAAGUCGCAGGACAGGCAAAAGGAUAGCCGUUCCAAAUCUAGGGACUGAGCUUGUCCAAGAGCGUAUAAGAGGAUAACAAUGAGUGCGCGCGCAUCCAACGAGAGCCGAAUAAUCUGUGUUGAGAUUGCAAAAGGCGGUGGAAAGGAGUGGCGUGGCGCGGGUGUAGCCGAUGAUGGGGUAGCUGAGAGUAAGCAGUAAGCCGAGUAGCAGGGGGCUGUAAGCAGUUUGCAGUAGCGAGAAAAAGAGAGCGGUGUUGGUGGUGCGGUGCGGUGCGGUGCGGUGCGAUGCGGUGCGGUGCGGUGCGAUGCGGUCCGGUCCGGUACGCUCCGAUAAUCGAGUGAUCCGAUGGUUCGUUCAAGGCGGGUUUGCGAAAAAUCAGGGCAAGAUAGUGGGGAGUACACACGCACGUACAUAUACACAUGAACAUACAUAUACACGCGCGCGCGCGCGCGAACACACACACACACAUGCAUGGCACACACACAUGUAUGUAUGUUUGUAUGU